rnacentral:rRNA from 1 species
UUUUGUGCUUGCACAGAAUGAUUAGUGGCGAACGGGUGAGUAACACGUGAGUAACCUGCCCCUGACUCUGGGAUAAGCCUGGGAAACUGGGUCUAAUACUGGAUAUGCACCGUAGACCGCAUGGUUUUUGGUGGAAAGAAUUUUGGUCAGGGAUGGACUCGCGGCCUAUCAGCUUGUUGGUGAGGUAAUGGCUCACCAAGGCGACGACGGGUAGCCGGCCUGAGAGGGUGACCGGCCACACUGGGACUGAGACACGGCCCAGACUCCUACGGGAGGCAGCAGUGGGGAAUAUUGCACAAUGGGCGAAAGCCUGAUGCAGCGACGCCGCGUGAGGGAUGACGGCCUUCGGGUUGUAAACCUCUUUCAGUAGGGAAGAAGCGAAAGUGACGGUACCUGCAGAAGAAGCGCCGGCUAACUACGUGCCAGCAGCCGCGGUAAUACGUAGGGCGCAAGCGUUAUCCGGAAUUAUUGGGCGUAAAGAGCUCGUAGGCGGUUUGUCGCGUCUGCCGUGAAAGUCCGAGGCUCAACUUCGGAUCUGCGGUGGGUACGGGCAGACUAGAGUGAUGUAGGGGAGACUGGAAUUCCUGGUGUAGCGGUGAAAUGCGCAGAUAUCAGGAGGAACACCGAUGGCGAAGGCAGGUCUCUGGGCAUCUACUGACGCUGAGGAGCGAAAGCAUGGGGAGCGAACAGGAUUAGAUACCCUGGUAGUCCAUGCCGUAAACGUUGGGCACUAGGUGUGGGGGACAUUCCACGUUUUCCGCGCCGUAGCUAACGCAUUAAGUGCCCCGCCUGGGGAGUACGGCCGCAAGGCUAAAACUCAAAGGAAUUGACGGGGGCCCGCACAAGCGGCGGAGCAUGCGGAUUAAUUCGAUGCAACGCGAAGAACCUUACCAAGGCUUGACAUGUGCUAGAUCGCCAUAGAAAUAUGGUUUCCCCUUUGGGGCUGGUUCACAGGUGGUGCAUGGUUGUCGUCAGCUCGUGUCGUGAGAUGUUGGGUUAAGUCCCGCAACGAGCGCAACCCUCGUUCUAUGUUGCCAGCACGUUAUGGUGGGGACUCAUAGGAGACUGCCGGGGUCAACUCGGAGGAAGGUGGGGACGACGUCAAAUCAUCAUGCCCCUUAUGUCUUGGGCUUCACGCAUGCUACAAUGGCCGGUACAAUGGGUUGCGAUACUGUGAGGUGGAGCUAAUCCCAAAAAGCCGGUCUCAGUUCGGAUUGGGGUCUGCAACUCGACCCCAUGAAGNCGGAGUCGC